AUGAACGCUAGCUACAGGCUUAACACAUGCAAGUCGAGGGGCAGCAUGGUCUUAGCUUGCUAAGGCCGAUGGCGACCGGCGCACGGGUGAGUAACACGUAUCCAACCUGCCGUCUACUCUUGGACAGCCUUCUGAAAGGAAGAUUAAUACAAGAUGGCAUCAUGAGUCCGCAUGUUCACAUGAUUAAAGGUAUUCCGGUAGACGAUGGGGAUGCGUUCCAUUAGAUAGUAGGCGGGGUAACGGCCCACCUAGUCUUCGAUGGGUAGGGGUUCUGAGAGGAAGGUCCCCCACAUUGGAACUGAGACACGGUCCAAACUCCUACGGGAGGCAGCAGUGAGGAAUAUUGGUCAAUGGGCGAGAGCCUGAACCAGCCAAGUAGCGUGAAGGAUGACUGCCCUAUGGGUUGUAAACUUCUUUUAUAAAGGAAUAAAGUCGGGUAUGGAUACCCGUUUGCAUGUACUUUAUGAAUAAGGAUCGGCUAACUCCGUGCCAGCAGCCGCGGUAAUACGGAGGAUCCGAGCGUUAUCCGGAUUUAUUGGGUUUAAAGGGAGCGUAGAUGGAUGUUUAAGUCAGUUGUGAAAGUUUGCGGCUCAACCGUAAAAUUGCAGUUGAUACUGGAUAUCUUGAGUGCAGUUGAGGCAGGCGGAAUUCGUGGUGUAGCGGUGAAAUGCUUAGAUAUCACGAAGAACUCCGAUUGCGAAGGCAGCCUGCUAAGCUGCAACUGACAUUGAGGCUCGAAAGUGUGGGUAUCAAACAGGAUUAGAUACCCUGGUAGUCCACACGGUAAACGAUGAAUACUCGCUGUUUGCGAUAUACAGCAAGCGGCCAAGCGAAAGCGUUAAGUAUUCCACCUGGGGAGUACGCCGGCAACGGUGAAACUCAAAGGAAUUGACGGGGGCCCGCACAAGCGGAGGAACAUGUGGUUUAAUUCGAUGAUACGCGAGGAACCUUACCCGGGCUUAAAUUGCAGAUGAAUUACGGUGAAAGCCGUAAGCCGCAAGGCAUCUGUGAAGGUGCUGCAUGGUUGUCGUCAGCUCGUGCCGUGAGGUGUCGGCUUAAGUGCCAUAACGAGCGCAACCCUUGUUGUCAGUUACUAACAGGUUCUGCUGAGGACUCUGACAAGACUGCCAUCGUAAGAUGUGAGGAAGGUGGGGAUGACGUCAAAUCAGCACGGCCCUUACGUCCGGGGCUACACACGUGUUACAAUGGGGGGUACAGAGGGCCGCUACCACGCGAGUGGAUGCCAAUCCCCAAAACCUCUCUCAGUUCGGACUGGAGUCUGCAACCCGACUCCACGAAGCUGGAUUCGCUAGUAAUCGCGCAUCAGCCACGGCGCGGUGAAUACGUUCCCGGGCCUUGUACACACCGCCCGUCAAGCCAUGGGAGCCGGGGGUACCUGAAGUGCGUAACCGCGAGGAGCGCCCUAGGGUAAAACUGGUGACUGGGGCU
rnacentral:rRNA from 1 species